UGCGUGUCCUCAGGCUCUCAGUGUCUCCUCUCUUUGUUGGAUCUUUGUGGAUUAUUAAGUUUUCAACUCUUCUGGUGGACGGUUUGGAUCUUCUGGUGGACGGUUUGGAUCAUUUUGUGGACGUUGAAGGCAGAAAGCCCGAGCAGGACCAGAGUGUUUCCUGAAUGUCUACCGUGAGCAGGAGGGCAGAAGGCUUUUCAGCAUGUCCCCCAGCAGCGUUCCUUCAGUGGCGUUCCUUCAGUGGCGUUCCUUCAGCGGCGUUCCUUCAGUGGCGUUCCUUCAGUGGCAUUCCUUCA